CUACGGGCGGCUCCAGUGAGGAAUAUUGCGCAAUGGGGGGAACCCUGAUGCAGCAACGCCGCGUGGAGGAUGACGCAUUUCGGUGUGUAAACUCCUUUUAUAUGUCAAGAAAAUGACGGUAGCAUAUGAAUAAGCACCGGCUAACUCCGUGCCAGCAGCCGCGGUAAUACGGAGGGUGCAAGCGUUACUCGGAAUCACUGGGCGUAAAGGACGCGUAGGCGGGUUGGAAAGUCAGGUGUGAAAUCCUACAGCUUAACUGUAGAACUGCACUUGAAACUUCUAAUCUAGAGUAUGGGAGGGGGAGAUGGAAUUAGUGGUGUAGGGGUAAAAUCCGUAGAUAUCACUAGGAAUACCUAAAGCGAAGGCGAUCUCCUGGAACAUUACUGACGCUAAGGCGUGAAAGCGUGGGGAGCAAACAGGAUUAGAUACCCUUGUAGUC
rnacentral:rRNA from 1 species